CAGGGGCCUACCUCUCACGUUUCUUUGUCACCUGUUCGGGGCUGCUCCCUGCAUUUAUGUCUGAACCUUUCCAAAGCUGGUUGAAUUCCCGCCUGCAGGUAGCGCGAGGGUCGUUCAGCAGCAGGAGGCGGGGGUCUGGCUGCCCUCAUACCAAACUCGUUCCCUCUACCUCACCAGGGUCUCAAUGUGUGAGUCAUUUCAACUGAGGGUGUUAGGUUUUCAAGUCCACAGGAUGGAAUACUUAGUGUCACAGAAAUAGAAGCUCAUCAAAGGUGUGCUUUGCCGGACUGGGUGGCUGCUCACCAAUUCAUGGGAGGCUUAGCACAUCGUAAUGGAAAAGCAGAGAGGGCGUGUAAGCCGGUUAGUUUCCUGCCAUCCUGCAAUGCCUGAAAUCGAGCCUGUUGAAGUGGGAGGUAGCCUGAUAAGUGAAGAUAGCUCGGAAUUUCGAAUUAGAAGACUCGAUGAUUUACUGUGUGACCCUGGAUCAUUCACUGAGCCACUCUGGGCCCUAUUUUUCUUAUCUUUUAGUUGAACAUAAUACAUAUAGGUAAGUUAUAAUGCUUCGACUUGACAAAUCAAAAGACAGCAUGCAUAAUGAAAAAAGAAUAUUGUAUGUAGUAAAGCUUUGUAUGAAUGAGA